AAUGUUCACGUCGGCAGGAAUGUGCGGGGGUGAGCACACUUGUUUAGAGUGCUCUAGCGGUGUGCUGCGGAGCAAAUGAGAUGGAAUCUCUGUUUCCUACGGGCAUGGUGAUUUUGCCUGAGCGGUUCGCAUGUCGUAUCAGGCUGCGCGCUUCGUACAGCGCCGCCUGAGCACUCAAACAAGUUGCUCAUCUUUUCAUUUUGCAACCUUUCUUGGUGAUAAACAGUGGCAUUUCUGCAGGACCGCAAGCAGCCGCAAAAUUUAAAAAUGUGAAAGAUCGGUGGCUCAAAAUUGUGUCGGCAUCGGAGGGGGCCCGGAAAAGUGGCGCCGGAGGAGAGGCCGCAAAGGUCCACACGAAGUGGCCACUUUUUGACAUCGUGGAUGGCAUGCUGAGGCACUCGCCACAUUAUGCAGAAAGGUCUUCAUCAAAUGUGCCCCCAGAAGAGGACGUCUCCAUUCCGCCAUCUCCACUGUCGUCGAACAGCCCUUCCAGUCCGAGUCUGGUGGCCAGCUGUAUAUCAAGCCCGGCUGCUAUGCUUCUUCAAGAAAUGUACUCUGACAGCCCCAAUGAUCUUAGUGAUGAAGACGAUUUGA